GACAGAGGUGCCGAGCGUUAGGCGGAAUCACUGGGCUUAAAGCGUGUGUAGGCGGACUUCUAAGUGCUUUGUGAAAUCCCACGGCUCAACCGUGGAACUGCUUGGCAUACUGGGAGUCUUGAGCCAGCUAGGGGCAACCGGAACAAACGGUGGAGCGGUGAAAUGCGUAGAUAUCGUUUGGAACGCCAAUGGUGAAAACAGGUUGCUGGGGCUGUGCUGACGCUGAGACACGAAAGCCAGGGGAGCAAACGGG
rnacentral:rRNA from 1 species